UAUUUUGUGAGUUUAAGGAGGAAGCUUGGUAUGCUUGUGUGUGUAUUUUCCCACCAUCUAACUAACACAGAAACAACACAAAUCUUACAGUUACUCUCCCCAUCCAUACUUAAAACAACAUAUGGGAGUGGUAGCACAAAUGUGAUGGGAUGUAGGAGUGCUGGUCUGUACCCGAACUGAAAUGUUAAUCAGAUGGCAAAUACUGAAGCUCUAUCAGUGAGAAAACUAGGCAGAAAGGGGCUGCAGUUUGACUUUGGUAAAGUUUUACGCAAGUUUUCCUCCAUGUGAAAUAUUUCCACAGGAAUGUAAUGUUUAUGAAAGAUGCCGGAUCAACUGUUCAGAGAUUGAACUUGCCUACCCACAGGAAAGGUUUUUCUAUGCCAGCAGGAGGUCUUCCUGUCCCUUUUAUGGGGACACUUGUCUCUUGAUAAUGGCCCCUUCACAAUGAAGGGAAGAAAGGAUGGACCAGCAGCAACGUGAAGUGGGGUGUUGUGUGGAGUUGGGGUUAACCGUCAUAAUGAACACUGUCCUACUAACAUGGAGAAUUGAAUAAAAGAAUUGAAUUCUAA